AGAACGAUGACACAGGGAUAACAAAGGGAAAUACCAGGGAAUGUCAAGUCAAACAAAUCGUAGAUCUUCUCUGGCGGCUUCUUUGACCUUGUUCUGACAGUGAACACCGUGUACAUCAAGGAAGAUAAUUACAACUUUUUCAAGUCUUCUAAAAUCGAGUAAGUUUUCUGUUUUUUUUUCCUUUGCAGUAUCCAGGGAUUUUGUUUGUUUGUUUAUUGCCACAUAUGGUUUCUGUUUCAAGGUCUAAGAGCAUCAUAUCAAG
rnacentral:lncRNA from 1 species